GACGAACGCUGGCGGCGUGCCUAAUACAUGCAAGUUGAGCGCUGAAGGUUGGUACUUGUACCAACUGGAUGAGCAGCGAACGGGUGAGUAACGCGUGGGGAAUCUGCCUUUGAGCGGGGGACAACAUUUGGAAACGAAUGCUAAUACCGCAUAAAAACUUUAAACACAAGUUUUAAGUUUGAAGGAUGCAAUUGCAUCACUCAAAGAUGAUCCCGCGUUGUAUUAGCUAGUUGGUGAGGUAAAGGCUCACCAAGGCGAUGAUACAUAGCCGACCUGAGAGGGUGAUCGGCCACAUUGGGACUGAGACACGGCCCAAACUCCUACGGGAGGCAGCAGUAGGGAAUCUUCGGCAAUGGACGAAAGUCUGACCGAGCAACGCCGCGUGAGUGAAGAAGGUUUUCGGAUCGUAAAACUCUGUUGGUAGAGAAGAACGUUGGUGAGAGUGGAAAGCUCAUCAAGUGACGGUAACUACCCAGAAGGGGACGGCUAACUACGUG
rnacentral:rRNA from 1 species